rnacentral:rRNA from 1 species
UACGUAGGGGGCAAGCGUUGUCCGGAAUUAUUGGGCGUAAAGAGCGCGUAGGCGGUCCGAUAAGUCGGCUGUGAAAGUCAGGGGCUCAACCCUUGAAAGCCGGCCGAUACUGUCGGACUAGAGUCCGGAAGAGGCAAGUGGAAUUCCCGGUGUAGCGGUGAAAUGCGCAGAUAUCGGGAGGAACACCAGUGGCGAAAGCGAAUCUCUGGGCAGCAACUGACGCUGAGGCACGAAGGCCAGGGGAGCAAACGGGG